GGGUGCGGUUCGGAGUGCGUGCGUGCCUUACAACCGAAGACACCAGGAAAGUCCCGCGGUCAGAACUAACCCGAACAAAGAGUAACCGGGAUGUUAGUGGGGCAGCGGACGGGACCGCAGUGAGUCUAUGUGGAGUUUCCUUCCAUAUGUGGAAUCCGACUCCAGUUACAGCGGACCUCCAGGCGCGGCGCUGGGGUGUAGUGUCGAUGGAGAUAGCGUGAGUAGGGGAGCUAAGCGAGAGCUAAGGCUAGCAGCCGUUCCCUUCUAACUCACCUCAGUUUCCCAUCACUAUAGGUAGAAUUUGACUGUAGAGCACGUAUAGAAAGCGAGGCAGCACGGCCGGCUGCCUGGCAAAGGACUAGCGUGUUUCCGGGAGGGGAGUUGGACGGCUUCGCUCCGAUACAUUCCGCGGACCCGACGUUUAGGACUUCAGGAGUCGGCGGUGUUUGGAUUACCCUGCCACUCAGACGACGUUCUGGUUGUUCACCCUGCUCCAGCUGGCCGUAUGUGAGAGCAUCGCUCUUUUCUAGCCCGUUGGUUCUUCACGCCCCGUUUCUCAGGAGGCGAAGGUUGUGCAGUGUAGCAGGAAGAAUGGGACCCAAAUGCAGGACUCACGGACAACGAAGACAAACCAGGAACUAGGAAUCGUCUAGGACCACAGAGGGGAAACCCAUAGCACUGUGAGGGUGUGACGCAACAACAACGGAGGAAAACACAGAGUUUAAGUGCACAGGGGAGUAAUGAGGGAAUGAAAACAGGAGGGAAACGCAGCCGGGACUAAUCUGACAUAACGAGAAGCAAAGCAGAACACACUGAUCUGGGACAAGGACUAUCAAUGUAAAACAGGAAACACAAGACAUUUGCAAAGAUGCAGACUUGAGACAGACUCAGAAGGAACAUGAAGCACAGAGACGAAAGUAACUAGACUUGGAACACAGGGAAGAUGUGGUGACAGAGAACUAAGACUAAGCAUUCAACACAUGGAGAACAGACUUAAACCUUCACCAGGAACACAGAGGAGGCACAGAAACAGAGCAGAAACCUGGAGACCAGGAACUAUAAAUAUAACACAAACAGAAAAGCAUCAUUCAAAGAGUAUAACUUAACCAAAAACACAAAGAUCCAUUGUCCCGACAACUUUUCUUGGCAAAAUAAUAUUUGAUGUACAUAAUAACAGUAUCAGUUAGCAUAACCACAUAAAAUAUACAAAAAUAACUGUUGCAUGUUUUCAGAGAUCCUUUCAAAGGUGUCCACACGCAAGUGAGACACAAAGAAAAUGUUAAUAAGGCAACAUUUCACAGCUUUUUGUUCUCUUUGUAUUUUCUCUGAAGUCCCAGACCUGCAGCCUCCAUCACAACUUCAGCUUUAUUACGCCGAAUGAGACAUCGAGGUCGCGAACCAUACGAAGAAAAAGAGCCGAGUGACUCAUAACUGAAGUGUUUCUGACUUUUAAAGGUCUCAUGUGUGGGUUUAAACUCAUCGUUCAUCAAGCCAAACUCGUCAUGCCACUAAAUGAAUGCUGCCCAUUCAGCCAGUCCACCUGAUGUUGACUCAAUCUGAUUGAACUCAUGAAAUAAUGCUUAAAAAUGUCUUUAUGCUAAAGUGUCAAACUUGUGCAGUCAUGUGGAUGUAGUGCUACAUGAUAGUUUGACACGUUUACAGCACAGAACUCCAACACAAAUCAACAAAGCGAUGGAGACAGCUGUGUCUGUACCUGCGGCUGACUGAGUCAUCUGUGAGCAGAUCAGACAGCCGUCUCUCAGACAGGACGGAGGGGAAACAGCCUCGGCUUCACUCUUUAAGGCUCAGUCUCAAAGGUCAGACAGUUAGGUGAUGUGAUCGCAUUGACAGGACCGCACGUGAUGUCACACUUCUCCUCUUCAUCUCCUCCCCCUCCUCUUCUUUCUCAGUUUUAGAAACCAGCUUUUGCUGUCUGUUGACGUGUGAAGACUCAGCUUUAUAAACACCUUUUUUGGGGGGAAAAUGUCAUCUGUGGUCAUGAACUCUUUCUUUUCUCACUUUAACUCCAUCAGUCAGUCCUUUCUUUCAGCUCUGAGCACAGUUUUCAAUUUAUUCUUAAAGCCUUUUUUAGAUGUUAUUAACCCAAAAUGUCAUUUUUUUAAAGUGUCAUUUUUAAAGGAAAAAGGGGAAAUAAGCAAGUUUCACUGUCUCAUCUGUCACCAGAUGAUCAUAUUCAGCGCCAGAGUAAAGAUUACAAGAAUAUUGGGCUGUGUAUUAGGAUUUAUGACAUGAAUAAAUACUAUUUUGGGCCAAGUAAUGUUUAGUUUUUUGUUUUUUGUUUUUUUCUUGUGCAAACUUUCACUUUUAAAUGCUUCUGAGACCUCUGAGUGCAACGCAGAGACACCUGCUGAGAUGUUAUCACGAAGACACGCAAAGGUCGAUAUUUAAGAGACUGCAUUUAACAGCUCAUCUGAAAUAAGACACCAUCAGAAAGAAGCUCAUGGUACUCACUGGAGCUGGAUUUGAAUAUUUCU